rnacentral:lncRNA from 1 species
GAAAAUAAAAUUUAAUAAAUUGGAUUUGAGGAUAAAAAUAUUAACAUGCAAAAAUAAAGUUGAUUCAAUUGACAAACGAAAACAAUGGAUGGAUGGAUGUUGUUGGGUACUAACAAUUUCAUCUAUUCCACUCUCUCUUAUAUACUACCCUUGACUAUUAGAUUGAUUAAUUGUUAUGCGACUUUCUAAGCCUCCCUAAACCCGAU